CGAAAGCCUGACGGAGCAAUACCGCGUGAGGGAGGAAGGCUUUUGGGUUGUAAACCUCUUUUGUUAAGGAAGAAGAAAGUGACGGUACUUAUUGAAUAAGCAUCGGCUAACUCCGUGCCAGCAGCCGCGGUAAUACGGAGGAUGCAAGCGUUAUCCGGAAUCAUUGGGCGUAAAGCGUCCGCAGGGGGUCCGUCAAGUCUGCUGUUAAAGACAGAAGCCCAACUUCUGAAUGGCGGUGGAAACUGGUUGACUAGAGUAUGGUAGGGGUUGAGGGAAUUCCCAGUGUAGCGGUGAAAUGCGUAGAUAUUGGGAAGAACACCAGUGGCGAAGGCGCUCAACUGGGCCGUAACUGACACUCAGGGACGAAAGCUAGGGGAGCG
rnacentral:rRNA from 1 species